GGGGUUGUAGUUAAACAUAACAUUCGGGUUGCAUCCGGAAGGUACUGCAAAAGUCUACCUCA
rnacentral:tRNA from 1 species